rnacentral:tRNA from 1 species
UCCCAGGUGGCUCAGACGGUUAAGAGUCUGCCUGCAAUGCAGGAGACCCAGGUUCGAUCCCUGGGUCAGGAA